AACGAACGCUGGCGGCAGGCUUAACACAUGCAAGUCGAACGGGCGUAGCAAUACGUCAGUGGCAGACGGGUGAGUAACACGUGGGAAUAUCCCUCUCAGUUCGGAAUAACUCAGGGAAACUUGAGCUAAUACCGGAUACGUCCUUCGGGAGAAAGAUUUAUCGCUGAGAGAUUAGCCCGCGUCUGAUUAGCUAGUUGGUGAGGUAAUGGCUCACCAAGGCGACGAUCAGUAGCUGGUCUGAGAGGAUGAUCAGCCACACUGGGACUGAGACACGGCCCAGACUCCUACGGGAGGCAGCAGUGGGGAAUAUUGGACAAUGGGGGCAACCCUGAUCCAGCCAUGCCGCGUGAGUGAUGAAGGCCUUAGGGUUGUAAAGCUCUUUUGCCAGGGAAGAUAAUGACUGUACCUGGAGAAUAAGCCCCGGCUAACUUCGUGCCAGCCGCCGCCGUAA
rnacentral:rRNA from 1 species